UGGCUCAGAGGUUAAAGCAUCUGCCUGAAAUGCAGGAGACCUGGGUUCGAUCCCUG
rnacentral:tRNA from 1 species